GGAGGGCUCUAGGCAGUCGCUCUUCGUUCCGGGUAGUCCGGGGUGGAGGGAGGAAAGUCCGAACUCCGACGGGCAGCAUGCUCGCUAACGGCGAGGCGCGGUGACGCGACGGAAAGUGCAGCAGAGAGUAGACCGCCGCCGCCGUUUCGAUGGCGCGGUAAGGGUGAAAGGGUGCGGUAAGAGCGCACCGCUCGGCCGGCGACGGUUCGAGGCAAGGCAAACCCCAUGUGGAGCAAGACCAAAUAGGGAAACGGUACUUCGGGUUGCCCGUCCCGAUAGGAUCCCAGUGGGGUCCGCCGUUUCCGGGUAGGUCGCACGAGGCCGACGGCAACGCCGGUCCCAGAUGAAUGACUGCUGACCCGGCUUUGAUCGGGGAAACAGAAUUCGGCUUACGGAGACCUCCGGCA
rnacentral:RNase_P_RNA from 1 species